GACAGAGGGGCCAGCGUUGUCCGGAGUGACUGGGCGUACAGCGCGCGCAGGCGGGUCGGAACGUGCCGUGUCACAGCUCUGAGCUCAACUCAGAGUGGCCAUGGUAGACGUCCGACCUGGAGGCAGGGAGAGGGAUGUGGAAUACCCGGUGGAGCGGUGAAAUGCGUAGAGAGUCGGGAUGGAACACCAGUGGCGAAGGCGGCAUCCUGGCCCUGACCUGACGCUGGAGGCGACGAGAGCGUGGGGAGCAAACGGG
rnacentral:rRNA from 1 species